rnacentral:rRNA from 1 species
CAAGUCGAACGGCAGCACGGGUGCUUGCACCUGGUGGCGAGUGGCGAACGGGUGAGUAAUACAUCGGAACAUGUCCUGUAGUGGGGGAUAGCCCGGCGAAAGCCGGAUUAAUACCGCAUACGAUCUACGGAUGAAAGCGGGGGACCUUCGGGCCUCGCGCUAUAGGGUUGGCCGAUGGCUGAUUAGCUAGUUGGUGGGGUAAAGGCCUACCAAGGCGACGAUCAGUAGCUGGUCUGAGAGGACGACCAGCCACACUGGGACUGAGACACGGCCCAGACUCCUACGGGAGGCAGCAGUGGGGAAUUUUGGACAAUGGGCGAAAGCCUGAUCCAGCAAUGCCGCGUGUGUGAAGAAGGCCUUCGGGUUGUAAAGCACUUUUGUCCGGAAAGAAAUCCUUGGUUCUAAUAUAGCCGGGGGAUGACGGUACCGGAAGAAUAAGCACCGGCUAACUACGUGCCAGCAGCCGCGGUAAUACGUAGGGUGCGAGCGUUAAUCGGAAUUACUGGGCGUAAAGCGUGCGCAGGCGGUUUGCUAAGACCGAUGUGAAAUCCCCGGGCUCAACCUGGGAACUGCAUUGGUGACUGGCAGGCUAGAGUAUGGCAGAGGGGGGUAGAAUUCCACGUGUAGCAGUGAAAUGCGUAGAGAUGUGGAGGAAUACCGAUGGCGAAGG